rnacentral:rRNA from 1 species
CCUACGGGAGGCUGCAGUGAGGAAUAUUGGGCAAUGGCCGAGAGGCUGAACCAGCCAAGGCGCGGGAGGGAAGACGGCCCUACGGGUUGUAAACCUCUUUUGUCGGGGAGCAAAGCGAACCACGUGUGGCUCAUUGAGAGUACCCGAAGAAAAAGCAUCGGCUAACUCCGUGCCAGCAGCCGCGGUAAUACGGAGGAUGCGAGCGUUAUACGGAUUUAGUGGGUUUAAAGGGGGCGCAGGCGGAGGUGCAAGUCAGCGGUCAAAUUGCGGGGCUCAACCCCGGACUGCCGUUGAAACUGCAUCCCUAGAGUGCGCGAGAGGUAUGCGGAAUGCGUGGUGUAGCUGUGAAAUGCAUAGAUAUCACGCAGAACUCCGAUUGCGAAGGCAGCAUACCGGCGCGCAACUGACGCUCAUGCACGAAAGCGUGGGUAUCGAACAGGAUUAGAUACCCUUGUAGUC